rnacentral:lncRNA from 1 species
UAACAGAUGCCUUUUUUUUUUUAACCAAGGACACAGUACGGAUCUCACAGGGACACUCCUUAUCCCCUGCAGAGAGUUCCAGACACUACUGAUGGUGACCAAGGCAACAUUUCAUCAGAAAACACAGUGCUAGGCUUGUGAAAGUGUCCAGUAGGGCUUCUACUGCCCCUAUAGGCUGCAGGCAGCUGCUUUAGUUGAGAGAUAGACUGAGCUCCUCAAAGAAUCCCUAUUUAAGUUACGAAGCAGCGAGUGGACGCCCUGCUGGGUUCCACUGUUGCCACAGGCUUUGAUUACUCUUAAGUUCAUGCUUCUUAGGAAAUUGCACUUUUUACACCAAUGCUACACAGUUCCCUCAGUUGCCUUUACUGGACAUCAAGGAGUUCACAUUUUUGACAACCAUUCAGUCCUGGACUGUCCAAGGGGUGGAGGUAGCUCCGUACAGGAAGCUGCCUGCUGCGUGUGGAUCAGUAAUAUCAGACUUGCCCAACAACUCACUGGAGACAUGAAAACCAAUGCAUGGGGGAUGCAUGACGUCACCCAAAUAUUUAUGAACACGCUUGUGCUGCCAGAGACCCCAGAUCUCUAAACCAAUGCAUGGGGAAUGCAUGAUGUCACCCAAAUAUUUAUGAACAGGCUUGUGCUGCCAGAGACCCCAGAUCACUUUUCCUGCCUCCUGCUAAAUAAAUGGGGGCAGUAGAUUUGCAUCGGUUUCCACAUUACAUUACUCAUAACUGUGGCCUUCCUAAUUUCUCAUAUCCCUAAGCACUUAUUACAAUGUCUCAGCAGCUUUCUCUCAGCCUCUCAAAAUAUUAGUCAUCAUGAAAAUAAAUGUCUGAUGUUAAAGCAUCAGGGGUCAAUUGUAUUGUGACACCUAAAAUUUCAUGCAGCACCCCACCAUGUUCUCAGCCUAAUGGCUUUCAUGGCCCCACCAGACUGCAAAACUCUGAAUUAGUCAAGCACAUCCCUGAAGGGACCAGGGGUUACUCCACCCUCUGAUUUCUAUCAAGCCUGCCUCCCACACCCUCUGUUCCAGAGUGCAACCCUGGGUAGACCUGCAUAAAUGCAGUGUCAUCCCCCUGGCUGAGUAUGUUUGACGAGUAAAUUACUGGGAAUUUCAUCUGCUCAGUGUUUGUUUUGUCUGCAGCCAUUCCCAGAAUUCUAGGCCAAUGGGGUGAACAGGAAGGAACCCAAGUAGGAAUUGCCUUUUUAAAAAAAUCCCUUCCCACCCUCUUAAUUAUGUAAUGCAUGCAUUUUUAUAGCUUUUUUGCUCAUUCCAUUACCUGAGGUCAGCCACUGAUAUUUAACCCAUCCUUAGCCUCGGAGGAGGGCAGAGGAGCACUGGUCAUAUUGAUUUCCCUAGCGGUGACAUGAUUUCCUCCUGUGCCACUCAAAUUCUCUCCUUCUUUAACUUGAUGCUCAGUAGGUUGUGUUUCUCUCGUCUUUGCAGAUUGUUAGGAAGAUGAGAAUCAGCUUUCAUUUUUGAUGUUGCCAUAGAGAAGCCUCCAUGGUAAUGUUUAUUUGCACAAUCAACUUUUUCUUUUCCCCCAGAAAUUGCAAAUUCUUAUGUGAGAGACAGCUUUCUGGAGUCUGCAAAUAUAGAGUAUCGUCUCUCUUUUGAUGGUAAAUUUAUUAUAUCCCCACCAUCAAUAAAAUACUUACAUAUAAUUUUGGCAUGUCAUAUUGAUUGCCAACUACACAUAAGAACAUUCCUUGAUUUUAAAUCUAGACUAAUUAUGAAAAUUUGGGUAGUCACAAAAAAUUAUUGUGCACAAAUUUAUAGACCUUAGGAUUAAAUGAGUUACUAUUAACUAAUAUUUAUUGUGCAGUCAGUGUAUGGCAGAAGCUUACUAUCUACUAUUUCAUUUUAUACUUAAAACAGUAUUCUAUGCAAAAUGCUAUAAUUUCACCAUGCCUCUAAUUUGGACAUGAUAAAACUGGGUCUUGUAAAGUUUUCACCCCAGAGUUCUCUGCUUAGUAAGAAGUAGAAAUAAGUUUAAACUUAAAUUAUCUGAUUUCAGAGCCCAUAUAGUUAAAUGCUCUAAAUGCAGCUUCCCCUGGUGAUGGUGACUAUGAGAGCCUGUCACAUAUGAUGUAGGACAGUGCUUCCCUGUAACAUGCACAAGAUUCCCGUGAUGAUGGUGACUAUGACAGCCUGUCAGAUACUAUGUAGGACAGUGCUUCCCUUUAAUAUGCACAGGAUUCCCGUGAUGAUGAUGACUAUGACAGCCUGUCACAUAUGAUGUAGGACAGUGCUUCCCCGUAACAUGCAGAGGAUUCCCGUGAUGACGGUGACUAUGAGAGCCUGUCACAUAUGAUGUAGGACAGUGCUUCCCCGUAACAUGCAGAGGAUUCCCGUGAUGACGGUGACUAUGAGAACCUGUCACAUAUGAUGUAGGACAGUGCUUCCCUGUAACGUGGGCAAGAUUCCCAUGAUGAUGGUGACUAUGAGAGCCUGUCAGAUACUAUGUAGAACAGUGCUUCCCUGUAACAUGCACAAGAUUCUUGUGAUGAUGGUGACUAUUUGAGCCUGUCACAUAUGAUGUAGGACAGUGUUUCCCUGUAACAUGCACAAGAUUCCCGUGAUGAUGGUGAAUAUGACAGCCUGUCACAUAUGAUGUAGGACAGUGCUUCCCUGUAACAUGCAGAAGAUUCCCGUGAUGAUGGUGACUAUUUGAGCCUGUCACAUAUGAUGUAGGACAGUGUUUCCCUGUAACAUGCACAAGAUUCCCGUGAUGAUGGUGAAUAUGACAGCCUGUCACAUAUGAUGUAGGACAGUGCUUCCCUGUAACGUGUGCAAGAUUCCCGUGAUGAUGGCGACUAUGAGAGCCUGUCAGAUACGAUGUAGGACAGUGUUUCCCUGUAACAUGCACAAGAUUCACCCUGGCAUCUUCUUAUUAAAAUGCAAACUCAUGGACCACACUUUGACUAGCUAAGACAAGAGCAUUUAAAUGGAUGUCCAGGUGACAUUGCUAAGAUCCUACUCUUCAUGUGGGCACUGGCUCACCAUAUUAAUGAAGCUUAGGACCUCCAGUCCCUGCUGGAAAAGAAAUACAGAUACAUAGGAUAUGACUGUGCAUAUGGAAUGUCUGUUGUGUUCUCGACAUUGUACUAGACACUAGAGAUAAAAAAUCAAAUAUCCCUUGCCUCUUUCUGAAAGGAGCUUCCUACACAGUGGCUUCUGACUGCAGUGUAUAUUUUCUCUUCUGUCCUGGGUGGGUGAGCUCUAUCUCAAUGUUGGUAACUGAACACUGCCCAGUGGGUUUGAUGGGGGAGAUCACAGCUAGCUGCGCUCCCACAUAGCUAUGACCACAGCAUACCUCGUGAUGCCAUUUCCCCCUUGUCAGAAGCCUCCCUCCAGUAUCAUACACGCUCCCCAUGAUUAUAAAUUCUUCCUCCUUCCACUAAAUGUUCCUAAAUCUUGCAAAGAUAAAAACAUAAACCACAUUCUUGUCAUAUUAGUUAUAUAUUAAUGAUGAAAGUUCCUUACUUUUCUUUCUUAUUUUUUUGCGACGGAGUCUCGCUCUGUCCCCAGGCUGGAGUGCAAUGGCGUGAUCUCGGUUCCCUGCAAGCUCUGCCUCCCAGGUUCAUGCCAUUCUUCCGCCUCAGCCUUCCGAGUAGCUGGGACUACAGGCACCCACCACCACCCCUGGCUAAUUUUUUUGUAUUUUUAGUAGAGACGGGGUUUCACCAUGUUAUCCAGGAUGGUCUUGAUCUCCUGACCAUGUGAUCCGCAAGCCUCGGCCUCCCAAAGUGCUGGGAUUACAGGCAUGAGCCACCGCACCCAGCCCAAGUUCCUUAUUUUUCAUGUGUUUAAUAUUUUCUCCCAAUUUAUAGAAUAUAUUGAUUAAGAAUAAAUUUUAGCCAUGCACAUCUUUUACAAACUUCAUGAUAUACUUUGCUAUAUUUAAAUUUCUUAUACUCAUAAAAUGUGUGUUCUGAUCUCACGUUGGCUUCCAUUUCUUCCCUCUGGCUUCUAUAAGUUUAGGCUAUGAGCAGAGAUGGACGAGGUGGCUACUGUAAUAGAUCAAGGCUAUGAGCAGAGAUGGAUGUGAGGCAGCGGCUGUAAUGGAUUAAGGCUAUGAGCAGAGAUGGACGAGGUGGCUACUGUAAUAGAUCAAGGCUAUGAGCAGAGAUGGAUGUGAGGCAGCGGCUGUAAUGGAUUAAGGCUAUGAGCAUCUUGUGAAGUAGGAUGUAAAAUCUGUAAAUGUCAGAAUGAAUCCAAAGUUAUCAAUUCAAAGCUGGAUUGUAAAACAGCUCAAAAAAAGACUGAAAACACAGCUCUACACUUUAGGAGGCUGAGGCAGGCAGAUUGCUUAAGUUCAAGAGUUGGAGACAAGUCUAAGAAACAUGGAAAAACCGUCUCUACAAAAAAAAAUUUUUAAUUAGGAGGGUAUGGUGGUAUGAGCCUGUGGUCCCAGCUUUUCAGGAGGCUGAGGUGAGAGGAUUGCUUGAGCCCAGAAGGUAGAGGCUGCAGUGAGCUCCGAUCACGCCACUGCAUUUCAGCCUAGGUGACAGAGUGAGACCUGUCUCAAAAACAAACAAAAAUAACAAACAAAAACAGCUCUAAACAAAAGUGGCUAGAAAAGUAGCUCAAGUUGUUCCUGUCUGGUUAAAUAGAAACAUAAAUGAACUACUUAUGUGCCCCAGUGGCUUCAUAAUGCUGAGAGGAAAGUCAAUUAUUCUAGCAGGUUCUAGAAAACUUUAUCAUAUCAUGGGGUUCAAUGAAAAUAUCAAAUCAUAAAUAUAAUAGUCAAAUCUGAAAGUGAAUCUAGUUUCAAAGACCUCAGAAGCCAGUGUGUAGGAAGCUCUUUUCAGAUAGAGACAAAGGAUUAUUUGACUUCUUAUCUCUGUUGUCUAGCACAAUGUCCAGAACACAACAGAUAUUCCAUAUGCACAGUCACAUCCUAUGUAUGUGUAUUUCUUUUCCAGCAAGGAAUAGAGGUCCUAGGCUUUGUUUAUAUGGUGAGCCAGUGCCCAAAUGAGCAGCAGAAUCUUAGCACAGUCAGCUACACACUCAUUUCAAAGCUCUGGCCUCUUAUCCAAGCUUGUCAAAGUGUGGGCUAUGGUUUUGCAUUUUAAGGGAUCCCCGGGUGAAACUUGUGGCUGUCAAAGGAGGAGAAGCACUGCCCUCAAAAUAUAGAAAAGGUGAACUAAUUUAUACAGGCAGGUGGCUGUUUAUUUAUGUAUUUAUUUAUCUUGUUGAUGGGAAGAUUCAAAUUGACAUACACAAUCACCCCUAUAAGGAUUUCAGGUAAAAAACAAACAAAGGUUUAGAUAUCAGAUGUGUUUUACAAUUACCACACCAGUCUUUUUACUACAGAAUCUAGUAGCAUAUUUCCAAUAGAUCUAGGUGAAAAUUUCUAUCUCAUGACCCUUCUGUCAGUAUUUUUAAAAUUGGGUACUCCAUUAGUGGCAAAAUUGAAUCUCUUACAGGCAUCUCACUCAAACUGCAGUCAUACUUUCCAAUAGGCCCCAUAAAAAUCCUUGUUCUGGAGCAAUCUAAUAUAUUUAUCCACCUCUUUAGACACUUAGGUAAGUAUAAUAAUACAAGUUGUGUGUGUGUGUGUGUGUGUGUGUGUGUGUGUGUAUUGUGUACCUUGUGGCCUCUUGUCCAGUUUCUGCAACACCUGAAUCUGAGGCAAGUUUAAUGUAAAUAACAUCCAGCAAUGUCAGAAAUGUUGACUUUUAUGUGCCCAUCAGGAAAAAAGGAUGAAUGUUAUUGUAGAGUAAAUUUUCAAUCUGGAAAAAAUGCAUACUGUUUGAAUGUUGCUUUCAUGCUUUCCACAGAUAUUAUACACAGAUAUUAUAUUCCAAGGAUUAUGUUUCAAAGUCUUCAAAAAUAGAAAAUUCAUUUUAUAUUUCUAGCUGAAAAUAAAAACAGUAAUUAGCCUACCUUUGGGGAAAUGUGAUAAAAAUACUAAUGACCAUCACAACUCAUUAAAAGCAUAAAAUGUGCAAUGAUUUAAACUACAUGUUCUUUCUAUGAAUCUGCAUAGAAAUAUAGACACAUUUGAUAAAUGCUAUUUAAAGUCUGAGUGCUUUGGUAAAUGAUUCAUCUAUAGGUUGAAGGGAUUACUUUUAUCUGCCUUCAUAGUGAGAAUUAGAUUUCUAUUCUUUAUAAAGCAGGGAAUACAGAUUGUGCAUGGAGUAAAAGCCUUCAAUCCUUAUUAAUAAUGAUGGUAGCUGCGCUGCAGAAAAGAAAGCCUGUCAGAGUAACGUGUUCAGUUUUACAUCAUAAUCAGAGGUAUGUCGAUCUCUGUUGAAGGCAGAAUUAAAAACGCCUUCAACGUUUUUAAAAUAAUAGAUGAAAAACAUCUCAACGUCACUUUUAAAAUUUGAAUUGACGAUUCCACAUAACAGGAAAAGGACCAAGACCAUCUUAAAUACUUCAUGAUGGAAGUGAUGUUUUAAGUGCAAUUUCAUCAAGGAGAAGUUUUUCCAGAAAGUCUUUUGACCUCAGUAAGAAGCUUAUUUACUCUGGUAAAUAAUUUAUCGUAAGAUGAGAAAGACUCGAUUUUUUAAAAACAAUAAAAAAUUUACAUGGUUUAAUCUAAUGUUGUGAUUUCGAAAGUACUACUUUUGCCCUUAUAGUUACGCUUGUGUAUUUAUAUGCAUUUUUUUGGUUCAUUCAAAUGCCAAUAAAAUACUUUACUAUCCAGGCUCCUUAAAAGCCAAAUUAAUUUCUAAAAGUGAGGAUUGUAUGUAUGCUGUGAGGUGUGCGCAGGUGUAUGUGUGUGAUGUGUAUGUAUGGUGUGUGUUUGUGGUCUUUGUGUGUAGUAGGUUCAUGGGGUAUGUAUAUGUGUGUGUAGUGUGUAUUGUGGGUGUUAUGUGUGUAUACUGUGUGUAGUUUGUGGGUGGUGCAUGGUGUGUAUAUGUGCUGUGUUUGUGGUGUAUGUGUGUGUGGUGGGUGUGUACUACGUGUGGUGUGGUGUGCGUAUGAUAUAUGUGUGUGCAGUUUGUGGUUUAUGUGAUGUGUGUGUGUAUGGUGCUGGAUGUGUGUGUACUGUGUGUAGUGUUUGAUGUGUGAUGAGUGUAGAAUGUGUGGUGUGUGUGUGCACAGUAUGUGUGGUGUGUAUGUGAUGUGUGUGCUCUGUGUGGUGCUAUAUAUACGUGUGCAGUGUGUGGGGAGUAUGUGUGGGGCGUGUGUUUGAUGUGUGUGGGGAGUAUGGGGUGUGUGUGGUGCUGUAUGUGUAUGUUGUGUGUGUAGUAGAUUCUUGUGUGUGGUGUAGUGUGUGCGGUGUGUGGGGGGUAUGCGUGUGUGCACAUUGUGCAUUGUGGUGUGGGGAUGUGUGUGCAUGUGCACAUGGUGUGUGUGCAGUGUGUGUGGUGUCUGGGGUGUGUGUGUGCACAUGGUGUGUGUGUGGCGUAUCAGGGGUGUGCGUGUGUGCACCUGGUCUGUGUGCAGUGUAUGUGUCUGUGGUGGGGUGUGUGCACGUGCACAUGGUGUGUGGUGUGUGUGAUGUUUGGGGGUUUGUGUGCAUGUAUACAUGGUGUGUGUGCAGUGUGUGAUGUCUGUGUUGGGUGUGUGUGUACGUGGUAUGUGUGCAGUAUGUGUGGUGUGUGGGGGUGUGUGUGCGUGUAUGCAUGUUGUGCUGUGUGCAGUGUGUGUGGUGUCUGUGUGGUGUAUGUGUGGGGCAUGUGUGCUUGUGUACACUGUGUGUGGUGUGUGUGUGGUGUGUGCAUGUACACGGUGUGGCAUGUGCAGUGUGGUGGGCUGUGUGCAGUGUGUGGUGUCUGUGUGUGGGGUGUGUGUGCACAUGGAGUGGUGUGUGCGGUGUGUAGUCUCUGGGGUGUGUGCGUGUGCACGUGUGUGUGUGCAGUGUGGGGUGUGUAUACGUGCACAUGGUGUGUGUGCAGUGUGUGUGGUGUUUGUGCACAUGGUGUGUGUGCAGUGUGUGGUGUCUGUGUGAUGUGUGUGCAUGUGCUCAUGAGGUAUGUGCAGUGUGUAUGGUGUCUGGGUUGUGUGUGUGCAUAUGGUGUGGUGUGUGCAGUGGGUGUGGUGUCUGGGGUGUGUGUGCAGUGUGUGCGGUGUCUGUGGGGUGUGUAUGCAUGUGUGGGGGGAAAAGAAAAAGAUCAGACUGUUACUGUGUCUAUGUAGAAAGAAGUAGACAUAAGAGACUCCAUUUUGUUCUGUACUAAGAAAAAUUCUUCUGCCUUGAGAGGCUGUUAAUCUGUAACCGUACCCCCAACCCUGUGCUCCCUGAGACAUGUGCUGUGUCAAGUCAAGGUUAAAUGGAUUAACGGCUGUGCAGGAUGUGCUUUGUUAAACAAAUGCUUGAAGGCAGCAUUCUUGUUAAGAGUCAUCACCACUCCCUACUCUCAAGUACCCAGGGACACAAAACACUGCGGAAGGCCACAGGGAACUCUGCCUAGGAAAGCCAGGUAUUGUCCAAGGUUUCUCCCCAUGUGAUAGUCUGAAAUAUGGUCUCAUGGGAAGGGAAAGACCUGACCAUCCCCCAGCCUGACACCUAUAAAGGUUCUGUGCUGGGGAGGAUUAGUAAAAAGGAAGGCCUCUUUGCAGUUGAGAUAAGAGGAAGGCAUCUGUCUCCUGCUUGUCCCUGGGCAAUGGAAUAUCUCAGUGUAAAGCCCAGUUGUAUAUUCCAUCUACUGAGAUAGGGGAAAACUGCCUUAGGGCUGGAGGUGGGACAUGCUGGCAACAAUACUGCUCUUUAAGGCAUUGAGAUGUUUAUGUAUAUGAACAUCAAAAGCACAGCACUUUUUUCUUUACCUUGUUUAUGAUGCAGAGACAUUUGUUCAUAUGUUUUCCUGCUGACCUUCUCUCCACUAUUACCCUAUUGUCCUGCCACAUCCCCCUCUCUGAGAAACGCCUGAUAAUGAUCAAUAAAUACUAAGGGAACUGAGAGACUGGUGCCAGCGUGGGUCCUCCGUAUGCUGAGCGCCAUUCCCCUGGGCCCACUUUUCUUUCUCUAUACUUCGUCUCUGUGUCUCUUUUCUCAAGUCUCUUGUUCCACCCGAUGAGAAACGCCCACAAGUGUGGAGGGGCAGACCACCCCUUCACGUGUGCACAUGGUGUGUGUGCUGUUUGUGUGGUGUCUGUGUGUGGGGUGUGUGUGCACAUGGUGUGGUGUGUGCAGUGUGUGUUAUGAGUGACUGCUUCUCUUAGCAUGUGGACAUCAGUCUUCCAGACCAGCUUUCUCCAUGUGUCUGGGAACAUAAGAAACAAGUUUCUGCAAUAAUUGUUACACAGCUUUUCCAGAGAGGUACCAAAUCUCUGUCGUGAGUGGAUAUCUGCGUCAUUGCAGGAGGGAAUGUGAUGUCCUGGUUUGGCUCACACCCUCUGAGGGCUUAGGCAGGGUUCCUGAUGGAUCCCUCACUGUGGCCAGAGACGGAGGGCUCUGUUUCACCAUAGGGCACCGGAAGAGGACUGGUGCGUGGGAAGACCAGGUAAUCAUAAUGGUAGUAAUAAUAGUGGUAAUAAUACUGUUUUAUACAUUGUAUAUGUCAUAAGGAUUUUAAGUUUCAUCUAACAUAAUUGUUGUAAAAAUGUCCCCAGUUUGUUUUGUCCUAUUUACUUGGUGUGGAAAUGUGUAAGAAUGUACGUUUUAGGUACGUUAGGUUUAUUCCUUUUUAUAUAGUUUCUGUUUGCAAUUUUGAUUUUAGAAGACAUUCAUUCAUUCUCAAGGUCAUAAAACACAGGUACAUCUAAUUUUCU